GGGGAUGUAGCUCAGUUGGUUGAGAGUGCCGAUCUGUCGAAUCGGAUGUCGCGAGUUCGAGCCUCGUCAUCCCCG
rnacentral:tRNA from 4 species